AGAGUUUGAUCCUGGCUCAGGACGAACGCUGGCGGUGUGCUUCAUACAUGCAAGUCGAACGAUAAGGUCUCUUCGGAGAUACAUAAGUGGCGGACGGGUGAGUAACACGUAGGAAAUCUGCCUUAAGGUGGGGGAUAACAUCGGGAAACUGGUGCUAAUACCCCAUAUGUGCUAGGUUGAAAUACUUAGCAUGAAAGUUC
rnacentral:rRNA from 1 species